rnacentral:rRNA from 1 species
GCAAGUCGAAGGAGAAGUUCAUUUCGGUGAAUGGAGACUGGCGAACGGGUGAGUAACACGUGGGAACCUGCCCUUCAGUUCGGGAUAACAGUUGGAAACGACUGCUAAUACCGGAUAUUCCCUCCGGGGGAAAGAUUUAUCGCUGAAGGAUGGGCCCGCGGUUGAUUAGAUAGUUGGUAGGGUAAUGGCCUACCAAGUCAACGAUCAAUAGCUGGUUUGAGAGGACGAUC